rnacentral:snRNA from 1 species
GAAUGUGAAAGUGAUCUGGCUGUGUGUGACAUGUCACCCCAUUGGUCAGGGUUGGUACAGCUGUUCUGACUGACCAGAAGGGUGUCCACUUCCUCCAUCAUUCUGUGUGUCUCUCCUGAAGCUAUGUUCUUGAUCAAAAAGGACAGCCCUCCUUGAUAGCAUCGGACUGCUCUUAGGUCAAGGCUAUCCCAGUGGCUGACCGUGGCUGCUAGAACCGCCAAACACGGUCUCAGGAAACCCAGCCUUGACGUCAUUCAUUCCUCCCACU